rnacentral:rRNA from 1 species
UGAGGAAUAUUGGUCAAUGGGCGCAAGCCUGAACCAGCCAUCCCGCGUGAAGGAUGAAUGUCUUAUGGAUUGUAAACUUCUUUUCUGUGCAAAGAAUAUGCUAUACGUGUAUGGUAUUGACGGUAGUACAGGAAUAAGCAUCGGCUAACUCCGUGCCAGCAGCCGCGGUAAUACGGAGGAUGCAAGCGUUAUCCGGAUUUAUUGGGUUUAAAGGGUGCGUAGGUGGAAUGAUAAGUCAGUGGUGAAAUCCUGCAGCUUAACUGUAGAACUGCCAUUGAUACUGUUGUUCUUGAGUGCAGAUGAGGUAGGCGGAAUGAGUAGUGUAGCGGUGAAAUGCUUAGAUAUUACUCAGAACACCGAUUGCGAAGGCAGCUUACUAAACUGUAACUGACACUGAUGCACGAAAGCGUGGGGAUCGAACA